rnacentral:rRNA from 1 species
CGAAACCGCGAGGUUAAGCCAAUCCCACAAAUCUGUUCUCAGUUCGGAUCGCAGUCUGCAACUCGACUGCGUGAAGCUGGAAUCGCUAGUAAUCGCGGAUCAGCAUGCCGCGGUGAAUACGUUCCCGGGCCUUGUACACACCGCCCGUCACACCACGAGAGUUUGUAACACCCGAAGUCGGUGAGGUAACCUUUAUGGAGCCAGCCGCCGAAGGUGGGACAGAUGAUUGGGGUGAAGUCGUAACAAGGUAGCCGUAUCGGAAGGUGCGGCUGGAUCACCUCCUUUCUAAGGA